ACGUAUGGGGCAAGCGUUAUCCGGAUUCAUUGGGCGUAAAGAGCGCGUAGGCGGAUUGUUAAGUCAGAUGUGAAAACCGGGGGCUCAACCCGCGGCCUGCAUCUGAAACUGGCAGUCUUGAGUCUGGUAGAGGAGUGUGGAAUUCCCAGUGUAGCGGUGAAAUGCGCAGAUAUUGGGAGGAACACCAGUGGCGAAGGCGGCACUCUGGGCCACGACUGACGCUGAGGCGCGAAAGCUAGGGGAGCAAACAGGAUUAGAUACCCUGGUAGUCCUAGCCGUAAACGAUGGGCACUAGGUGUGGGGGGUCAUCAACUCCCUCCGUGCCGCAGCUAACGCAUUAAGUGCCCCGCCUGGGGAGUACGGCCGCAAGGCUA
rnacentral:rRNA from 1 species